ACCAUUUCUUUUCUGUUUAUUUUCCUUUUGGUUCUUUUUCAUAUUUCUUUUAUUAUUUUCCUUUAUUCUCUUAAUUAUUAUUACUGAGUCUUAUCCUUGUUAUGCUUAUAAAUAGUAUUAGUUUUUAGGAAGUUGUGAUUAUUCUUUUUCUUUUUGUGGAAGUAUGUUUUAUAUCAUCCUUUUUGCCUUUAUUCUUAUUAUUAUGUUUUUGUUGCCUAUUUC
rnacentral:lncRNA from 1 species